ACGGAAGGCAGCAGUGGGGAAUAUUGGGCAAUGGGCGAAAGCCUGACCCAGCAAUGCCGCGUGAAGGAAGAAGGUCUUCGGAUUGUAAACUUCUUUUAUGAGGGACGAAGGAUUUGACGGUACCUCAUGAAUAAGCCACGGCUAACUACGUGCCAGCAGCCGCGGUAAUACGUAGGUGGCAAGCGUUAUCCGGAUUUACUGGGUGUAAAGGGCGCGUAGGCGGGGAAGCAAGUCAGAUGUGAAAUCCAUGGGCUCAACUCAUGAACUGCAUUUGAAACUGUUUCUCUUGAGUGCUGGAGAGGUAGAUGGAAUUCCUAGUGUAGCGGUGAAAUGCGUAGAUAUUAGGAAGAACACCAGUGGCGAAGGCGGCUUACUGGACGAUAACUGACGCUGAGGCUCGAAAGCGUGGGGAGCAAACAGGAUUAGAUACCCUGGUA
rnacentral:rRNA from 1 species